CCUACGGGAGGCAGCAGUGGGGAAUAUUGCACAAUGGGGGAAACCCUGAUGCAGCGACGCCGCGUGAGUGAAGAAGUAAUUCGUUAUGUAAAGCUCUAUCAGCAGGGAAGAAAAUGACGGUACCUGAGUAAGAAGCCCCGGCUAACUACGUGCCAGCAGCCGCGGUACUACGUAGGGGGCAAGCGUUAUCCGGAUUUACUGGGUGUAAAGGGAGCGUAGACGGCAGUGCAAGUCUGGAGUGAAAGGCGGGGGCUCAACCCCCGGACUGCUCUGGAAACUGUACGGCUGGAGUGCAGGAGAGGUAAGUGGAAUUCCUAGUGUAGCGGUGAAAUGCGUAGAGAUUAGGAGGAACACCAGUGGCGAAGGUGGCUUACUGGACUGUAACUGACGUUGAGGCUCGAAAGCGUGGGGAGCAAACAGGAUUAGAUACCCGUGUAGUC
rnacentral:rRNA from 1 species